UAUACUUUAAAAAAGGCUUUAAUGGGGCUAUCAAACCAGAAGUUCUUAAGGGCACAACUAAAGCUCUCCACAGGAUGUCAGUCACUCAAUAGUGCUAAUGUUUUCCUAAGGAGAAGAGA
rnacentral:snoRNA from 1 species